rnacentral:rRNA from 1 species
AGUGAACGCUGGCGGUAGGCCUAACACAUGCCAGUCGAACGGCAGCACAGUAAGAGCUUGCUCUUACGGGUGGCGAGUGGCGGACGGGUGAGGAAUACAUCGGAAUCUACUUUUUCGUGGGGGAUAACGUAGGGAAACUUACGCUAAUACCGCAUACGACCUACGGGUGAAAGCAGGGGAUCUUCGGACCUUGCGCGAUUGAAUGAGCCGAUGUCGGAUUAGCUAGUUGGCGGGGUAAAGGCCCACCAAGGCGACGAUCCGUAGCUGGUCUGAGAGGAUGAUCAGCCACACUAGAACUGAGACAAGGUCCAGACUCCUACGGGAGGCAGCAGUGGGGAAUAUUGGACAAUGGGCGCAAGCCUGAUCCAGCCAUACCGCGUGGGUGAAGAAGGCCUUCGGGUUGUAAAGCCCUUUUGUUGGGAAAGAAAAGCAGCAGGUUAAUACCCCGCUGUUCUGACGGUACCCAAAGAAUAAGCACCGGCUAACUUCGUG